ensembl:snoRNA small nucleolar RNA SNORA44
CAGCAUGUUUCCAAGGGCUGUGUCUGGGUGUAGCCACGGGUUCUCCAACUGCAUGUGAGAGCAACCUGGAGAGACUUUGACAGCUCAGGUUAGCAUGAUACCUGCAGCGGCCACUCGCCCUUCCUAGAUAU